rnacentral:rRNA from 1 species
GUGAGGAAUAUUGGUCAAUGGGCGGAAGCCUGAACCAGCCAAGUCGCGUGAGGGAAGAAGGCCCUGCGGGUCGCAGACCUCUUUGGACGGGGAGCAAGGCCGCCGACGUGUCGGCGGAAGGAGAGUACCCGUAGAACAAGCAUCGGCUAACUCCGUGCCAGCAGCCGCGGUAAUACGGAGGAUGCGAGCGUUAUCCGGAUUUAUUGGGUUUAAAGGGUGCGUAGGCGGCCUUUUAAGUCAGCGGUGAAAGUCUGUGGCUCAACCAUAGAAUUGCCGUUGAAACUGGGGGGCUUGAGUAUGUUUGAGGCAGGCGGAAUGCGUGGUGUAGCGGUGAAAUGCAUAGAUAUCACGCAGAACCCCGAUUGCGAAGGCAGCCUGCCAAGCCAUUACUGACGCUGAUGCACGAAAGCGUGGGGAUCAAACAGG